UACGUAGGGUGCGAGCGUUAAUCGGAAUUACUGGGCGUAAAGAGCGCGCAGGCGGUCGUUCAAGUCGAGUGUGAAAGCCCCCGGCUCAACUGGGGAGGGUCACUCGAUACUGAUCGACUUGAAGGCGGGAGAGGGAAGCGGAAUUCCCGGUGUAGCGGUGAAAUGCGUAGAUAUCGGAAGGAACACCAGUGGCGAAAGCGGCUUCCUGGUCCAGCACCGACGUUCAGGCACGAAAGCGUGGGGAGCAAACAGG
rnacentral:rRNA from 1 species